rnacentral:rRNA from 1 species
AGUGAACGCUGGCGGCGUGCUUAACACAUGCAAGUCGAACGACAACGGAAUAUAGCUUGCUAUAUUUGUCAGCUAAGUGGCGCACGGGUGAGUAAUGUAUAGAUAACCUGCCCUUAAGAAAGGAAUAACAGUUGGAAACGACUGCUAAUGCCCUAUAUGCCUUUAAUACAUAAGUAUGCAAGGGAAACGCUUUAGUGCUUAAGGAUGGGUCUGUAUGGUAUCAGCUUGUUGGUGAGGUAAUGGCUCACCAAGGCUAUGACGCCUAACUGGUUUGAGAGGAUGAUCAGACACACUGGAACUGAGACACAGUCCAGACUCCUACGGGAGGCAGCAGUGGGGAAUAUUGCACAAUGGACGAAAGUCUGAUGCAGCAACGCCGCGUGGAGGAUGACACAUUUCGGUGCGUAAACUCCUUUUAUAUAGGAAGAUAAUGACGGUGCUAUAUGAAUAAGCACCGGCUAACUCCGUGCCAGCCGCCGCGGUAA